UACGGGGGGGGCAAGCGUUGUUCGGAAUUACUGGGCGUAAAGGGCUCGUAGGCGGCCAACUAAGUCAGACGUGAAAUCCCUCGGCUUAACCGGGGAACUGCGUCUGAUACUGGAUGGCUUGAGAUUGGGAGAGGGAUGCGGAAUUCCAGGUGUAGCGGUGAAAAUGCGUAGAUAUCUGGAGGAACACCGGUGGCGAAGGCGGCAUCCUGGACCAACACUGACGCUGAGGGAGCGAAAAAGCCCAGGGGGGAGCAAAACGGGGAUUUA
rnacentral:rRNA from 1 species